GACGAACGCUGGCGGCGUGCUUAACACAUGCAAGUCGAACGGAAAGGCCCUGCUUUUGUGGGGUGUUCGAGUGGCGAACGGGUGAGUGACACGUGAGUAACCUGCCCUCGACUUUGGGAUAACUUCAGGAAACUGGGGCGAAUACCGGACAGGAGCUCCUGCUGCAUGGUGGGGGUUGGAAAGUUUCGGCGGUUGCGGAUGGUCGGGCGGCUCAUCAGCUUGUUGGUGGGGUAGUGGCUUACCAAGGCUUUGACGGGUAGCCGGCCUGAGAGGGUGACCGGGCACAUUGGGACUGAGGUAGGGCCCAGACGCCAACGUGAGGCAGCGGUGGGAAACAUUGCACAAUGGGCCGAAGCGUGAUGCAGCGACGCCGGGUGCGGAAUGUCGGCCUUCGGGUUGUAAACCGCUUUAGCCUGAGACGAAGCGUGAGUGACGGUAAUGGGUAAAGAAGCAACGGCUAACUACGUG
rnacentral:rRNA from 1 species